CGUGAGACAGUUUGGUCCCUAUCUACCGCAGGCGUAAAAAAAUUGAGAGGAUUAAACCUUAGUACGAGAGGACCAGGAAAAGUGAAUCUCUGGUGUAUCGGUUGUUAUACCAAUAGCAUUGCCGAGUAGCUAUAUUCAUAAUAGAUAAUCGCUGAAAGCAUCUAAGCGAGAAACUAGCCUCGAGAUCAAUUUUUUAAGAGAACGUGAUAGAUUAUCACGCAAUAGGCUUAAUGUGUAAAAAUUGUAAAAUUUGUAGCC
rnacentral:rRNA from 1 species